rnacentral:rRNA from 1 species
GACGAACGCUGGCGGCGUGCUUAACACAUGCAAGUCGAACGGAAAGGCCCUGCUUUUGUGGUGUGCUCGAGUGGCGAACGGGUGAGUAACACGUGAGUAUCCUGCCCUUGACUUUGGGAUAACUUCAGGAAACUGGGGCUAAUACCGGAUAGGAGCUCCUGUUCCAUGGUGGGCGUUGGAAAGUCUCGGCUGGUGGGGUUGGACUCGCGGCUGAUCAGCUUGUUGGUGGGGUAGUGGCUUACCAAGGCUUUGACGGGUAGCCGGCCUGGGAGGGUGACCGGCCACAUUGGGACUGCGAUACGGCCCAGACUCCUACGGGAGGCAGAAGUGGGGAGUAUUGCACAGUGGGCGGAAGCCUGUUGCAGCAACGCCGCGUGCGGGAUGACGGCCUUCGGGUUGUAAACCGCUUUCGCCUGUGACGAAGCGUUAGUGACGGUAAUGGGUAAAGAAGCACCGGCUAACUACGUG